GGGAGGCAGCAGUAGGGAAUAUUGGGCAAUGGACGAGAGUCUGACCCAGCCAUGCCGCGUGCAGGAUGAAGGCUUUNUGAGUCGUAAACUGCUUUUGACAGGGAAGAAUAAGGCUUACGUGUAGGNUGAUGACGGUACCUGCAGAAUAAGCACCGGCUAACUCCGUGCCAGCAGCCGCGGUAAU
rnacentral:rRNA from 1 species